AAGCUUGCUUCUUUGCUGACGAGCGGCGGACGGGUGAGUAAGACUUGGGUAUCUGCCUUUAGGCGGGGGAUAACCAUUGGAAACGAUGGCUAAUACCGCAUAAUGUCUACGGACCAAAGUGGGGGACCUUCGGGCCUCACACCUAAAGAUGAGCCCAAGCGGGAUUAGCUAGUUGGUGAGGUAAAGGCUCACCAAGGCGACGAUCCCUAGCUGUUCUGAGAGGAUGAUCAGCCACACUGGGACUGAGACACGGCCCAGACUCCUACGGGAGGCAGCAGUGGGGAAUAUUGCACAAUGGGGGAAACCCUGAUGCAGCCAUGCCGCGUGUGUGAAGAAGGCCUUCGGGUUGUAAAGCACUUUCAGCGACGAGGAAGGGUGUUGUAUUAAUAGUGCAGCACAUUGACGUUAGUCGCAGAAGAAGCACCGGCUAACUCCGUGCCAGCAGCCGCGGUAAUACGGAGGGUGCAAGCGUUAAUCGGAAUUACUGGGCGUAAAGCGUACGUAGGCGGUGUGUUAAGCAAGAUGUGAAAGCCCCGGGCUCAACCUGGGAAUUGCAUUUUGAACUGGCACACUAGAGUCCUGAAGAGGGUGGUAGAAUUUCCAGUGUAGCGGUGAAAUGCGUAGAUAUUGGAAGGAAUACCGGUGGCGAAGGCGGCCACCUGGUCAGAGACUGACGCUGAGGUACGAAAGCGUGGGGAUCAAACAGGAUUAGAUACCCUGGUAGUCCACGCCGUAAACGAUGUCAACUAGUUGUUCGUGUCAUUAAGACAUGAGUAACGCAGCUAACGCACUAAGUUGACCGCCUGGGGAGUACGGCCGCAGGUUAAAACUCAAAUGAAUUGACGGGGGCCCGCACAAGCGGUGGAGCAUGUGGUUUAUUCCGAUGCAACGCGAAGAACCUUACAUCCCUUGA
rnacentral:rRNA from 1 species